rnacentral:tmRNA from 1 species
GGGGACGACUUGGCUUCGACUGGAGUAGUUUCGGGAUUAGGUUGCAUGUCGGACUGAGCAUUUCCGUUACGCGGCUCACCUUGCUUAAAUGCAAACAACACUAAUUACCGCCCAGCUUACGCAGUAGCAUAAGUUUAUCCCCUCGAAAGAGGCGGGCUGCUUCACUCUUCGGUUCUAUCCUAGAAGAGAUUUUGAAGUAUAACCCUUAUGAUAGAUAUACUUUCAGUGGGUCUCGACUGAAAACGAAUUUAGAGACUCGUCUUGCAUAGCCUUGCAGCUUGUGCGAAGCAAGAUCAAACCAAUCAAGCUAACUAAACAUGUAGACGCCUUUUUCUAGCUAUUUUAGGACUGCGGUUCGAUCCCGCACGUCUCCACCA